rnacentral:hammerhead_ribozyme from 1 species
GCACUGUUGAUGAGUCCCAAAAUAGGACGAAACAAACGUCCAGUGC